rnacentral:rRNA from 1 species
GGUCUAGCGGCGGACGGGUUAGUAACGCGUGGGAACGUGCCCUUCUCUGCGGAAUAGCCACUGGAAACGGUGAGUAAUACCGCAUACGCCCUUCGGGGGAAAGAUUUAUCGGAGAAGGAUCGGCCCGCGUUAGAUUAGAUAGUUGGUGGGGUAACGGCCUACCAAGUCUACGAUCUAUAGCUGGUUUUAGAGGAUGAUCAGCAACACUGGGACUGAGACACGGCCCAGACUCCUACGGGAGGCAGCAGUGGGGAAUCUUAGACAAUGGGCGCAAGCCUGAUCUAGCCAUGCCGCGUGUGUGAUGAAGGUCUUAGGAUCGUAAAGCACUUUCGCCAGGGAUGAUAAUGACAGUACUUGGUAAAGAAACCCCGGCUAACUCCGUGCCAGCAGCCGCGGUAAUACGGAGGGGGUUAGCGUUGUUCGGAAUUACUGGGCGUAAAGCGCGCGUAGGCGGAUUGGAAAGUUGGGGGUGAAAUCCCGGGGCUCAACCCCGGAACUGCCUCCAAAACUAUCAGUCUAGAGUUCGAGAGAGGUGAGUGGAAUUCCAAGUGUAGAGGUGAAAUUCGUAGAUAUUUGGAGGAACACCAGUGGCGAAGGCGGCUCACUGGCUCGGUACUGACGCUGAGGUGCGAAAGCGUGGGGAGCAAACA